UGGGGAAUCUUGGACAAUGGGGGCAACCCUGAUCCAGCCAUGCCGCGUGAGUGAUGAAGGCCUUAGGGUCGUAAAGCUCUUUCGCCUGUGAAGAUAAUGACGGUAGCAGGUAAAGAAACCCCGGCUAACUCCGUGCCAGCAGCCGCGGUAAUACGGAGGGGGUUAGCGUUGUUCGGAAUUACUGGGCGUAAAGGGCGCGUAGGCGGCCCGAUAAGUCCAAGGUGAAAGCCCUCGGCUCAACCGAGGAACUGCCUUGGAUACUGUCGGGCUCGAGGCUGGAAGAGGGUGAUGGAAUUGCCCGGUGUAGCGGUGAAAUGCGUAGAUAUCGGGAGGAACACCGGGUGGCGAAGGCGGUCACCUGGGCCAGUACUGACGCUGAGGCGCG
rnacentral:rRNA from 1 species